GCUUACGGCUAUACCAACCUGGCUGUGCCCGAUCUCGUCUGAUCUAUGAAGCUAAGCAGGUUUGGGCCUUGUUAGUUCUUAGAUGGUAGACCGCAUGGGAGUACCAGGUGCUGUAAGCU
ensembl:rRNA 5S_rRNA 5S ribosomal RNA